rnacentral:rRNA from 1 species
UGGGGAAUUUUGGACAAUGGGCGCAAGCCUGAUCCAGCCAUGCCGCGUGCGGGAAGAAGGCCUUCGGGUUGUAAACCGCUUUUGUCAGGGAAGAAAUCUUCUGAGUUAAUACCUCGGGAGGAUGACGGUACCUGAAGAAUAAGCGCCGGCUAACUACGUGCCAGCAGCCGCGGUAAUACGUAGGGUGCAAGCGUUAAUCGGAAUUACUGGGCGUAAAGCGUGCGCAGGCGGUUUUGUAAGACAGAGGUGAAAUCCCCGGGCUCAACCUGGGAACUGCCUUUGUGACUGCAAGGCUUGAGUGCGGCAGAGGGGGAUGGAAUUCCGCGUGUAGCAGUGAAAUGCGUAGAUAUGCGGAGGAACACCGAUGGCGAAGGCAAUCCCCUGGGCCUGCACUGACGCUCAUGCACGAAAGCGUGGGGAGCAAACAGGAUUAGAUACCCUGGUAGUCCACGCCCUAAACGAUGUCAACUGGUUGUUGGGAAGGUUCCUUCUCAGUAACGUAGCUAACGCGUGAAGUUGACCGCCUGGGGAGUACGGCCGCAAGGUUGAAACUUAAAGGAAUUGACGGGGUCAUAGCUG